rnacentral:lncRNA from 1 species
ACCUGGUACAAAUCAGAGGUUGGCUCUUACUUGGUGCUUAUCUCUUUAUUUCUGUGGUAAAUACUCUGCUUUUCAGGUAGUUAUUGGUUGCAGUUUUUAUGCUCUGUAGAAUCUUAAACUUAAAAUGCAACUGAAGUGGUCGCUUUCAUUUAUUUCUGACCCAGAGUAGGUAUCUCAGAAUGCCAAAUGCCCAGCACUAGGAAAAAUAGGUUGACUUCUGCUGAAAUAGCUGAAUUCCCUGACUUCAGUGAAAAGAACAUGUAUGCAACUCUAUGCCACGUUCAUGUAUCUGUGCAUAUUCAUGCCUGUUGAUCUGCAGUACUUUCACUUUCUGAUGCUAUGCAAUGUAGGCAUGCAAAGAAUCUGAAGCAGGCUUACAGUAGCCCUGCAGAAACAGCCUAAACCUGCUGACUUUUCCUGCUUGUGGCUCCACAAAUAAAACACUGCAGUCUGUAAAUGUGGAUUGCACAACUGGACCCAUCAGUAGAGUGUGAUGGAAUUGAAGUUGACUCGUCUCUUCUUACUGAGGAGUGGAACAUUACUGGUUCUCUUCAUACAUAGCUCACCUGUUUUCAGAGGAAUUGCAGCAUCAGGAUUUCAGGACAUCAAGUGGGCAGGUCUGAAAUGUACCACGUGUGGAAUGAAGCCUACUGAAAAACAUUUAAUCUUUUGGGAUGAGUGAGAGGAGUGCAGAGGGGAAACUGCAUUUGAAGUCAGAGCAGUAAUAAUGACUCAGAGGUUUGUACUGUGCUAUCACUGUGCUGUUAAGCCUGAUUCCUCCUUUCACGUAAAUUCUCUUGGCUUAUUCUGAAACGCAUUUAAAAUGUUAAGUAAUACAAAGUCAGUGGAGCUGGUGAUACUUCAGAGUUCUCAGAGACUGAUUGUUUUACGUUUCAGUGCAGAUUAGAUCAGAAGUCACUUUGUAUGAAAUAUCCUUGAGUGUGUAAUCUAUUGAUUUAAUUUUGUAGCCUCAGUCUAGAAUUUGAGAAGUCCAAAACAGAAAGUCCUUCACAUUUACUUCAUUGGAUUUCUCUUCAUGUGUUGUCAGUAAUUCUCUAUGUAAACAGACAGGAAAUUGUACACAACUUGAAAGCUUGAGCAGCUGUCCAAAACAUUCCUGCUAAGAUUGAUUAAUACCUGUUUUUUCUAGAAGUACUUUGAGAGUAUUAGAAGAAGUUUUAAAAUUCACAGUUAUUAUAAUGGGUCGUAUCAAUAUUUACGAAACUUCUUUGAGAAUGAUCCCAGACUUGCACUUUCUUUUGCCUGGAAUAUAUAUGUCUUGCCAUUUUGAAGAAACUGUUUCUAUUUCAACGACAUGAAUAUAAAGAGAAUUAUGCUAAACAACCUCU